GGAGUAAAUAAUUUAUUCAUUCAAUUUAGGGUGUUCUCACACCAUAAUUUAUUACAAAAUAUGCACUCAGUUUAUAUUUAUCUUACACAAAAUAACUGGGAAGCUACAUGGCACUACUAAUACAUAUAAAAAAAAACAUCUGGUUCCAAAUCUGUAUAGUAAAUUUAAAUUUCUUUCUGGAGUAGUUCCAGGAAAAUUAAUUCAUAAAACAUUAUAGUUCAUUGAAAUUGAAAAACAAUACCAUAAAUUUUUUAUUCUUUAUAAUGUUAACAAAAAUAAAGAGAAUAUAUUUUGUUUUAAUUGCAAUAAAAAAGUUUCUAACUGCUCAGUAUUUAAUAAACAACACAAAAAGGGUACAACAAAUGUUAAAUAUGGUGACACAUGAAACUCACUCUGAAUAUCUGUUUAGCACUAUAUUUGAUUUUUUUUCUACAUUACAGACACCUUACAGGCAUAUUUUGGUGUUCAUCACAAAACUCACAAAAAUGUAAGUUGUUUUAUAACAGGAUACUUGUUACUCAACUUCCAAUGAGUCAAUGGGUAAUGAGUGUAAUAAAGUAAAAUAAAAGUAGAUCAUUGACAUCUUAGGCAAGCAUCACCAGUCAAAAUCAGAAAGAAAUGUAAAUCAGUGAUAUAUAUUAGUUUGUUAUUGCUUCCAUUAAUAUUUUUGAAAAUAAGCAGAUAGUCUAUAUAGUGAAGGAAGAUUAACUUUGUUUUGCACUGCACAAUGACAUCAUUAAAAGUGCUUUGGUGUUUCUUACUUGCUGCUGGCACUUAAUCUUCAAUUUUAAUGCAUUAAUUGUAUUUGAACAUAUUUACAAAAAGAAAUGAGCCUUAUUAAAAGAUUUGGGAUUUGCUUUAGCAGAAAUAGCAAAAUAUUAUUUGAGAAAUGACAAAUGUAGCAAUUCGAAUAAUAUGGUUUGUAUUUGAAGCAUUAGUACACAUAAGAUCUGGGCCUCUCAAAUUCCUAUUUUCUCCUAUUUAUUCAUGAAUCGCGGCAUCUUUUCAUGGUACUACACAUAGGAAUAGCUCCAGAACAUUGACUGAGGUGGUGAAUAUCAAGCAAGCUUUCCACCAAUAAAGUUAUUAUGAUAGUUUAUGAAGAAUUUGUAGAAAGGACAGAGAUUAAAACCUUGACAUUCUUGGUAAUUUUUGUUAUAUAGACAUUGUUCCUAUGGUCUAAGGCAUUUUUCUAAGCCCUGCAUUUCAUCUUCUAAUACAUUCUUGAAAGCCUAUGUUGUAUGGUAAACCUUCAACAAUUUCUCCUACAGUUCAUCAACAGGAUAUUUCUUCAGUUUAAAUACUGUUAGUCAAUGCAUUAUUUAAGUACGUUAGUAUUCACAGCAAUGUGAAACAUUGAAGUCUUGUAAUGAUUACAAACAUUUGAGAGAAAUAUGUUAGACAACAAAAUCUGGAAAAUUAUUCUCAAGUAACAAAAAAUAAAAUAAAAUACAAGUUAAAAUAAAAACUAGAGAUUUGUAAUUUUCAUGUUGUUUUACAGCUGAAAACCAUAACUUAUAUCACCCUAGUGUAAAGAAAUUGCAAUAAUGUAACAGUUUUUGCAGUUUUCAUAUUUUUAAAAUUAGAUGUAGAUGACAGGAGAGUAUGAAAUAUUACUAAGACGUGAAAUCCUCUGUCUUUUACUUGACUUUUCUUCUCUCCCCUUAUUCUUUGUUUUUGUCUGUAUAAUCUUAUUAUCCAUCACUAACAAGUGACAUAUUUCUGUUUUUUAAGACAACUCUUAAAUGCAACCUGUUUUCUUGCUUUCACGUAGUAUUAUUAAAAGGAUUUUCCCUUUGUUACAAGGUGUCACAGCUGAGGCUGAGGUUAGUAUUUUAUACAGGGAAGUAAUAUGUAAUUUAUAACAAAACAUCAAUUUAUCAGUUGAACUUAAAAUAUGUAAUUACAGUGUAUCUUGCUCAUUGGAAGCAAAGUAAUUGUACAUGUAAUUAUGUUCACUUUCUUAAUAAAUACAUAUGAACAAUUUUUGGCAGUGACUUUCCGUAGAUAAUGAAUAUCAAUUUAAGCAAUAACUAAAUUAAUUUUGUAUUCAAACUGGCAGCAUUGCUUCCCUCUAGUCUAUACAUAUGUAUAAAAAUGUUAGAACACACAAAUAAUUAACAAUAUGAAACACCAUUCACAUUAAUAGGUAAUUGCACAUAGAUUUUCUAUAAAGAGAAACAAUGGGUUAGUUGAAAUCAGUUUAUCAGUGCUUUCACACUUAUUAAGACAGAAACCCUCAUAUGCAUAUUUCACAAUGACAUUACAAAAUUUAACACACUGUAUUAUCAGCAUUGAUAGGCAUGAUUAAAAUAUAUUUAAAACAUUUUUGUUUAUUUAUUUAUUUAAUAAUAGUGUAUAUUAUACUGUUAAGUUGCUGCUAGAUUUUUUUCAGUAUGUUUCUAAACUGAACACUUACGUUAACUCAAGAGCACAUUAAGUGGACUCUCUGCAUGUGCUUAUAUCUUCAAGACACUUCAGCUACAUAAAGAAGUAGUUUAAGACUGAAAAUUCUGAAAAAUAAAUCUUUUAAAGAUUAUGAAAAUAUUUUAAUUGAACUUUUAUUAACACAAUAAAUGCUUUUUAACAUAAUCACGUUGUCACAAUUCAAAUAUAGUUUAUAUUUGAGAAGUAUGCAGUACCAUAAGUAGUCCUUUUAAGGACAUACUGAAAUUUACAGAAAAAUCUAAACUCUUUCAAUUAAGUUCAUGAACUUAUGACUAAAAUUUAGAUAAGGUAAACCAGUCUGUGUAAAUCUAAGAUAAAGUGCAUAGAGCAAAGAGAAGAAAACUUUCAGAAGUGCCUGUUAAGACCAGAGCUUAAGUUUUCACUUACCUCCAACUCACAUAGGGAAUUCUCUGCACAUAACAUACCUCUUAGCAGACAAGGUAAAGGGAAGUGAAGGAUGAAGAGAAGGAAGAUAAUGUGAAGCAAAAAAUAAUGAACAUUAAAGGAGAGAAAUGAUAAUGGUUGCAGUAACAUGUCUAUGGUUGUGUUAAUGUGUGAUAUUGUCACAGUAGCCAUUGCUUAUAAGAGAAUGCAACUGUGCCAUAUGAACUAAUGCACCUCUUCACAACGAAUUUCUUAAUCUCAGGAGAGUAUGAAACAUUACUAAGAUGAGAAAUCCUCUGUCUUUUACUUGACUUUUCUUCUCUCCCCUUUUUCUUUGUUGUGUUUGUAUAAUCUUAUUAUGCUUCACUAACAAGUAACAUAUUUCUGUAUUAUUCAUGUCUUCUUUUCCUGUCUGAAGUCCAAGGAAGAGAAUCUUUUUUUUUCUUAAAGCUCAAAACUGAGUUAUGCAUUUUGCACUUGGCUUGAACCUAUUGCAGCUUAAUAAAAAGCAUAACCAUCUUCCUCCUCUUUAUAACCUGUGUUAGUUCAUUUUGCACCUCAAGAGCCAGACAGUAUAAAUCACAUGACAUCUACAAGGUAGUUUUAAAUUAUCUUUUGAAAAGAGAAGGAAUUAUUUUGAUAUAAAUCUGCAGGCUUCCAUGGCAUUAAAAUUCUGUUGGGCAUAAUGCUGCAUUGUCUUAAAAAAAAUUUUAAAUGCUGAAAAACCAACAUUUCAGCCAUGUUUCAGUGCCAUUUUUCAGGGUUUAGACUAAUUAUCUGGGGAGAAGCAUGUGUCAGUACAUUGCAUUUACAAUUUAAUUACAAGACCAUUAACAUCAUAUUUCUUAGAUUUUAUUGGCAAUAAAACAUCACUGAUCAGUGUUUGGAAAGAGUGGUGUUAUAUGUAGCAGACUAUUGUGGAUUACAUAAAUUUAUGGUAAUUGGUAGCCUGCUAUGAAUCAGUGACAGAGUUUUGGGCUGAGCUAUGAAGUUCAGCAAGAAGCCCUAUAAAGAGAAUACAAUAAAAGAACAGCUCUCUAUGGUAUACUUGGCUGCUGUCAAGGGCAUCACUGACUGAGUAGGUAAGGUAUUUCACAGAGGAGACUUAAAACAAGUUUUCUAGAGUGGCUUCACAAGAUCCACAAUUUGGCAGUGUCCAUGAUUUAUGCAAUAAUAUUCUUCAAUGCUGCAGGUGUAUGAGAGAUAUGUUGUAAGUGUGGUGCUGCCUGCAUUGGGGAAUCUGGAAGGUCUAUUGGCACCCACACAGCACAGUAUGAGUGCUACGUUUGGUUGGGGUGGCACAAGACAAGACAUUGGCACUAACAGAGCUCCACUGGCAUUCUGGACAGGCUAUUCAUUUUCAAGAAUAAUGAAUGCUUGCAUGGUGGCUGUGGAUGUGCACUCACAAAAAUAAGAGAUCAGUAUGUAGUAAGAAGACAACAAUUAUAAAAAACAAAGAUUGCUACUCACCAUAUACCACAGACGCUGAACUGCAGGCAGGCACAACCAAAAGACUGCUAAACACACAAGCUUUUGGCCAGAAGGCCUUCUUGUGAAGUCUGUCUUUCUUCUGACGUAGGUAACACACACAAACACAGUUCACACACACAUUACCACUGUCAUUUUGUGUGUGUGUGUGUGUGUGUGUGUGUGUGUGUGUGUGUGUGUGUGUGUGUGCGUGUGUGUGUGUGUGUGUGUGUGUGUGUGAGAGAGAGAGAGAGAGAGAGAGAGAGAGAGAGAGAGAGAGAGAAGAGAGAGAGAGAGCUGCAUUUGCAUGAAUGUGUGUGUGUGUAUGUUGCCUGUUUCGGAAGACGGCCUUCUAGCCAAAUGCUUACAAGUUUAGUAGCCUUUUGUUGUGCCUGUCUGCAAUUCAACAUCUCUGGUACAUGGUGAGUAGCAAUCUUUCUUUUCGAAUUAAAUAAUCUUUCCUUUUCAAAAUAUUGUCAUUAUCCCAUCUUAGAUUUUCCAUUGCUUGAUAAGACUACUAUUUCUAUUCAAACAAGAGUUAUCAUGAAAUGUUUUGCUGAUAUAUGAAGCUUUUGCUGCAUGUUGUAACAUAAUACUGCUAUCAUAAGCCAUUUAGAAACAUGAAAUAACCCACUUUUGAGUCACCUUUCAAACUUUUAUCUUGAUACUGCUUCAGACAUCAAAACAACAUGCAGAAUAAUGUUCGCAGAACAAAACAAAAAGUUAAAACUAAAUUGUUUGGUUCAGCUCACUAAGACCAGUGGUUCAUUGUUAAAAACAUUAAUAUGCUUCUUGGUCACACUUGAGAAAAAAUUUAUUUCUUAAUGUUUUACACCACAUUUAGAUACUUUCUUCAGAGAUAGUUUAACACAGCAGGUGAAGGAGCUGUCAAAUGGACCAGUAUGUUUAGUGUGGAUCAGUGAUGAAAAUCCUUUAAAACGAGAUAAAUCUAUUUCAAAGAUUAUAAUAGUGCUAACACUCACUACAGAAUGAACUUUUUGAUAUGACAAAUGUUGUUUAUCAGCUGUGCAGGUAUGCACUUAUUACUGAAUGUUAUUAAAGUUCAAUUUAUGUCUCUAGAGAACAAAAUUUUGCUUUCACACUGCUGUCUUGCAUUUUAUUAUAAUGAUUAUUGGUAUUAAAUUAUAAUUAGUUCACAUGCUGCCUAUUGUUCAAGAAUAAUAUUCAUCAUUGGCUGUUGACUAAUUUUUAUCACUUACUCAUAUUGUUCUCCUUGGGCUCUCAGGAUACAUUUCGAUUACAAGCAUCACACAUCUUUGACAUUGUUCCUUUAGAAAGACUCCAAAAGACCUCAAAAUCACUCCUAUAGAAUUUUGCUUGAAAUAUUAGGAAUCAGGAGAUUAUGAGCCUGAUAAAUCAAAAUAAAACUGUGCUCAUUUGAAAGCAGAGCUAGAUUGUUAAGAAAGUGAAUGUACCCUCUUAGAUAUUGAUUUCUAGCAAAUAUUCACAUUAUAAGGAACAAAGCUGCAAAAUCAACAAAACCCCCAAAAAAACUGACUUGCAUGAAAUACUGUUAUUUUCUGCUACAAAAGGAAAAUAAGUGACUGAAUCAGAGCUAUCAAGUUAUGAAGAUACAUUGUAGACUAAAAAAAAGGACUUUCUAGUGCUUCUUGAAGAGCAGACAUGGAAAUGAAGAAUUGACAGUUUCUCAAGUUAUGAAGGGCAUGAUUUCACAAAUGUUUGGAACAUUCAAUUGCUAUUGUAAUUAAUAUUUCUAAAAAUGAAUAAGAAAGUAUCAAAGGAGAGAGGAAAUUUGGAGUUUGGUCAUCAUUAUGUUUAACUCCAUGUGUAUGAUAUAUGUUGCGAAUGUGUGGGACUUUUCUCAUGUGCGUAUUAAUCAUGUGAGCAUGAAAUAAACAUGACAGAAUUCUCAAUGUUGAAACAGAGCUUCUUAAUUAUUUUAUGACUGAUACAAGAGAAAGGCUUCUACAUUGUACCUGUUUACAUGUUUUACUCAACUAGGUUCCAUGAUGGAAUGUUGAAUGCAAGCAUUUGAUAGCUAAACAAGAUUAUAAUAUUAAAGCAUGGAGGCAAAUUCAAGGACAUCAAACAGGUGAUAUGUACUUCUACAAAUAAUAAAUGCCAUUUUCUUAUUAUGAUGAAUGAAAGUUAAGUUAAUCUGUUGUUCUUAACAUCAGAAUUCAAAUAGCUCACAACACAGUGGAUAGUUAAAAAGUGUAAUCACUAUGUUUGUAAAUAGUAGCUACUGUUGGUACUCCAUUACUGGAAGCAUCUGGUACAUGGAAUGAAAGAAAAAUGACAUUUCAUGCCCUACUGAAGAUGCUAUGCUCCUAGAUAGUUUUGUCAAUGAACACAAAGUGAUGUGCAGUGCAUUUUCAGAUAUUCACUGUGGCAAAACUUCAUUUGUGAAAUAUUGUUGCAAUUUUAGUUUAUUUUGUACACUUAUUAAGAGUCAUAAGGAUGAUUGUUGUUGCUGAUAAAAUUAUAUCAAUGAAAACCCAAAUAUGGGGAUCUUAAUCAUCCAGAUAAUGGGAAAAGAAGGUUAACAGAUAGAGUCAGUAAUCUAUGCACAAUGAAACGUAUGUAAAGAGGAAAUGGUAGUAUUGUUGUGCAUAUUCUCAACAAGUCGGUGUGCCAAAGGUGAGUGAUACAGUGCAAAAAAAUGUAAGCUGCGCUUUCCACUAAUUCCAAGAACAUGUUCAUUCAGUAUUCAGAACACCACUUGGUGACUUCACUAUCCAUAAUCUCAAGCAGAUGUAUGUAUGUAGAGUAGAUCCUCCAUGAAAUCAUUCACAAACAAAGUGAAAAUACAUCUUUACAUCAUGUAGAAGGCAAAACAAUACCACACAUGAUGCUAAAGGUCAAUUUAGGAGAGUGAAAAUACCAAUAGGAAAGGGCAUGAUAUGUGACAUAAGGUAUAUCAGAUGGGAUGUGUGCAUAUUAUUGUCUAAAAUUUCAUGCAUGAGAAGUGCAGAGCAAUACAUCAUCAGAUAGAUAGCAGAUGUAAUUGAUGUUACUAUAUACAUAAAGAACAAAAAUAUACUUCAAACAGACUGAAAGGCCAAGCUCAAUGGUGAAGCAUAUGUACUUUCUUAAUACAUUACCAAACUCCAGUACAGUUAUAUUACCUCAGACAGCAAAAUAAUUUUAAAUAUUGUAAGUUAGGAACUGUACUUGUUCAAAUAUACACAUUACUCACACAAACGCUCAGUUUGAACGGGAAAAACUUUAUAAUGAGACAUUAAAGAGAGUGUAUAAUUACAGGUCAUGGAGCAAUAAUGAUGGAAUAUUUUAGACUAUUUGGCAUGAUGUUUUUGCAGUCAAUGACUUCAGUUUAACACAGUGGGAUAUGAAAUUAACAUGAGAAAACUGUGUCUACUUUUACAACACAAUUAAUAUGAAAGAAAGAACAUCUGCAGUGUUUCCAGAAGUUUCAUCUGCAGUGUUGCUAACACAGUUGGUGACGUAUAUUACUGAUAAUGAAGAUGGUAUAAAAGGAACAAGGAUGAAGCUACUGAUGUAAAUUCUAGUGACUCUAACGUAAUCAUACAGUUAUGUUCUUCAUAUAUGGUAUUUCUGUUUUUAUCUGUUACAGCUAUAUAAGAAGUAAAAUGGUGUUUUGCUAUUUCAGUAAAUAAAAUGUAGGUAUGAAAAAAGAAAACACUUAACUGGGCAGCCACAUAACAGGAAAAAUAAUUAUUUAUUCUUGGGUAAUUAAUUUUAAGUAUCAGUGCAGCCAGUCAUCUAAUACAAGUGAACAUGGCAGUACAAAAAAAAAGUAUCUAAUUAAAUUUAAAUUUAUUUGCUGCUGGCCACUUUUAGUAUCAUAAUCAACCAGCCUAAAAUAAUCCAUGACAACAAUGUAAAUACUUUCAAAGAGAUGGAUAAGCAAUGACAUAUUUAUAGUAGCAAUUCGGAAAAUACUAUCACAAUACUUUAUUGACAACCACACUGCCUAUCUGUGUUCAUCAUUCCACACAUUAUGAAGGUAUUCCUUCCCAUUUGUUCUCUGCAUAUGUGACAUCAUAUAUACAGACAUGCAGAGUCAUUAUCAAUCAUACUUAAUAAUAUUAUCACAUUGCAGCUUUGUGUUACUCUUUGCUGUGGCCUGCUAUGUCAUUGAUUAUCUAUAUAUCUUUUGGUGCAUUCACUCACAUUUACUGAAUUUUUAUUCUGUACAAACAGGUCAUGUUUCAGAUUGCUUUAUAAUAAAGUCAAUGUCAAAACUGGCCAGUAGCAAAAGAAUUUGAAUGAAAUUAACAACUGCCAGUGGAAAAUUAUAAGCUCUAAUUGUUUAUAAAGUCUGUAAGAAAACCACCAAUUAAAGCAACUGAAUAAAAUAACACAUGCAAAUAAGAAUACAAUUAAUUUCUACAGCCCAGUGUUUAGAUGCAAUACAUAAUGACAAAACGUCUGCUACUAACAAAUAAGUGGAGUGGAAAGAAAAUGAAAAUUGAAAAAGAAGAUGGUUCUUAUCUCCUGCCAAUGUAUUUUCUACUGAAUUUUAUGGGCAGUGAAAUUUUUUACCCUUUUUUUCAUUUUAAAGAUAAUGAAAAAUACAAAUACUGACAGACGGAUAUGUCAAUAUGCUGAUUCAAGGAUACAGCAUCACUAAACUCUUAUCAUUGGUGGUCACACUUGGUAAGUAUGAUAAAUAUUUAAAAGAACAUUACACAGAUUUAAAGUACUGUAAAUGAGAGGUCUAGAGGCUCACUCUAACAGAGAUAUGUGAUGUAAGAGUUAGAAAGUCACACUUUUGUGAGACAAUGCAAUGAAACUAUGACCCAACUAAAUCUAUUGUGGCCACUACGCAUUGGCACACUGCAUACAACCAUGUUGUGAAGGCCAUGGAAAUUACUUGGAAACUGAAACGUUUUAUGUCCAACUUAGUACUGUGCUAGCAAUUCUUUAAGCAGGAAAUUACAGUUAUGGGUUGCACUAUCUUUAAGAGUUACCAAUGCUUAUUUUAUUAUCAUAAAUCAUCACUCGAAUUACUGCACCAUUAAUUCCUCUUCUUGAUCCUAAUGAUGACAGCACAUUUUUACUAGUUCUUAAUGUCUUUAGACAUUCCUUUAUCUAGAACCACCCUCUGCAUAUAUGCAUAUAUGUGUGUGUGUGUGUGUGUGUGUGUGUGUGUGUGUGUGUUUAUGUGUGUGUGUGUGUGUGUGUGUGUGUGUGUGUGUGUGUUUUAAUCCCUCACACCCAUUAUGAGAAAAACACAGUUCUUCAUUAUGCACAUUGUAUCUUUAUUGUAUGUCCCAUGCUUUCUGGUACAGAUAACAGGAAAUGAAUAAAACACGAAAAUAAAAAUACAGGAGCCAAGGGCUGGAAGUGGGAAAAAGUUUGUGAGCUUAUACAAAAAUAAUCAGGUUCAAGCAUCCAUGAAGAUAUGCAUAGAAAAAUUAAUGUCAGUGUAAUAAAAAUUAUUGCUUGCAAUACUAAACACCAAUAAUACCUACAAUCUUUUGGCUUAUAACAUCUCUAGAUGACCAAUGAAAUACAAACAAAUCUUACAUCCUGCAGCCUUACAUUAUUUCUUGACUUCAGAUAACAUUCAUCUCCAAAUACAAUUACACAUAGUCCAGCUUUUAACAUAAAAUAUACAGUUUCUUCAAGACUAAAGUCGUAUCUACUUGAAGGUACAGGAAGGCGUCUGAGUAUUAUACUGAAAUAUUUAUUACAUUUUCUUUGUAUUUUAAUAUCAUCAGCAGUAUAGAACAACUAUUUUUUUUAAAAAAAAGGACCAUACACUGUAUUUGGCAAUUAUCUGAUUCCAUACUGAGAGAAAUGUUUAUUAAAAAAAUUAAGUUAAUAACUAUACAUUGAAAAUAUGUGUAUAUAAAAAUUUUAGUACUACUUUUUAUGUACAUUUUUCCUCCUACUAAAAAUAUACACUAAAUGUCUUAUUUCCAACAUCAUAAUUGGCAAUAAUUUUAGUAUCUGCAUAUUCAGUGACUGUUUUUGUCUGAAAUAUAUUUCUCAUUUUUUUCUUUUUUUUUUUUU